rnacentral:rRNA from 1 species
ACUCCUACGGGAGGCAGCAGUGGGAAUCUUGGACAAUGGGGCAACCCGUAGCAUCCAGCCAUGCCGCGUGAGUGAUGAAGGCCUUAGGGUCGUAAAGCUCUUUCGCCUGUGAAGAUAAUGACGGUAGCAGGUAAAGAAACCCGCGUACAUCCGUGCCAGCAGCCGCGGUAAUACGGAGGGGGUUAGCGUUGUUCGGAAUUACUGGGCGUAAAGCGCACGUAGGCGGAUCGGAAAGUUGGGGGUGAAAUCCCGGGGCUCAA